UAGGUUACCCAUAAAAUAAGUACUGUAAAUAUUUCAAUUAAAACAAUGCAUUUUGAAUAAAUAAAGCAUAGAUUUUGCAAUAAUAGGUUCAAUAUGAUCAAAUAUGAAUGCCACUUGCCUUGCUCUACUCGCUGGGGUACUUCGGUGAUGCUUUCAAAGUAAAUCGGCAUGUCGAUGGGCUCCGAAUCUAAGCGAUAAAGUACAAAAAUAAAUAAAACAUACAUAAACUCUACUGUAACAGCACAAGAAAGUAUUUUUAAUGGGUUCUUGGCAAUUUUAUGAAUUUAGUGAAAUUUGAAUGGACUUAAAACGGAGACCGGAUGAAUUAGUUGUGAAUUUUAAAAGAUUAACUGUGUUUUUAAACUAAACAGAAAAACCUUAAUGAUUUAUUGCGCAAUUAAAGCGAGGCGCUGAUAUCAGCGGAGGAAAGAGGAGGCGGCUGACAGGUGGGGACCAUGGGGCAGUGACACAAGGGGGAGAGAGGGGGCUGACGGGUGGGGACCACCCGUCACCAAGAGAGAAACAAAGGAGGGGAGGAAGGGGGUGCUGGCCGAAUUGUGGCGGCACGGAGCGGCGGCG
rnacentral:lncRNA from 1 species